GUUAGUAUUUUAUUUGGGCUUGUAUUAUGUUUUGGGCUUGCCCAAGCCUUUUUUUUUUUUUUUGGGCUUGUAUCAUGUAUUGGGCUGGCCCAAGCCCUUUUAUGCUUUGUAUUGUAUAAAAGUAUGCAGCUUUCUAUGCAUGGGGGACAGAUUUGAUGGGAAUGAAUUGAACGUUGAGUGUUGCAGAAAUCUCCCUUUUCCACCGCCCCUUGUCCUAUUCUUUUUUCUCCUCCUUCUCUCCUUCUUCUCUAGCUGUUUCUUUACUGCAUGUGUUAUGCUUCUUCUGCAGUUUUCUUCAACUUUUAUAGAUUUUGAACUUCUCAACCUUUGCUACAUCAGCUUCUUUUCAGGAUCGGUGCAUUUGAAAAGUAUGUCCCCUUUCAUUUCUCUUUAAACUCACUUGGCAGGCAGAUGAAGCAUGAUUUCUUUUUUACCUUGAAGUUUCGUCAACCAAUGCUUGAAGUAUUGCUUCUAAACCCAGAGUACAAGAUGGAAUUCUAUGUAUGAAGAAAUUAAGGUGGCCUAAACGCUCUAUCGAAACCACCUAAGUCCAUCAAGAGUGAUGUCUCCAUUUGCUUUCCUGAGGUUAAUAAUCAGCUUAAGUAGAAUUAAACUUCUUCAUCUUAUGUAACUUAUAUUAAUCACUUUUAUAUUGUAGUUUUCCAAUUUUGGUUCAUUGGAGCAACAUGGAUUUGCAUGGAAAAAUCCAAGAGUA